GACGAACGCUGGCGGCGUGCCUAAUACAUGCAAGUUGAGCGCUGAAGGUUGGUACUUGUACCAACUGGAUGAGCAGCGAACGGGUGAGUAACGCGUGGGGAAUCUGCCUUUGAGCGGGGGACAACAUUUGGAAACGAAUGCUAAUACCGCAUAAAAACUUUAAACACAAGUUUUAAGUUUGAAAGAUGCAAUUGCCUCACUCAAAGAUGAUCCCGCGUUGUAUUAGCUAGUUGGUGAGGUAAAGGCUCACCAAGGCGAUGAUACAUAGCCGACCUGAGAGGGUGCUCGGCCACAUUGGGACGGAGACACGGCCCAAACUCCUACGGGAGGCAGCAGUAGGGAAUCUUCGGCAAUGGACGAAAGUCUGACCGAGCAACGCCGCGUGAGUGAAGAAGGUUUUCGGAUCGUAAAACUCUGUUGGUAGAGAAGAACGUUGGUGAGAGUGGAAAGCUCAUCAAGUGACGGUAACUACCCAGAAAGGGACGGCUAACUACGUG
rnacentral:rRNA from 1 species